AGAGUUUGAUCCUGGCUCAGAAUCAACGUUGGCGGCGCGCUUAACACAUGCAAGUCGAACGAGAAAGGGGAGCAAUCCCUGAGUAAAGUGGCAUCCGGGUGAGUAACACGCGGAUAAUCUACCCUUUGGUGGGGAAUAACCCUGGGAAACCGGGGCUAAUACCGCAUAAGUCCGAGAGGAGAAAGGCGAAAGUCGCCGAAGGAAGAGUCCGCGGCCGAUUAGCUAGUUGGUAGGGUAACGGCCUACCAAGGCGAAGAUCGGUAGCCGGCCUGAGAGGGCACACGGCCACACUGGCACUGAAACACGGGCCAGACUCCUACGGGAGGCAGCAGUGGGGAAUCUUGCACAAUGGGGGAAACCCUGAUGCAGCGACGCCGCGUGAGUGAUGAAGCCCUUCGGGGUGUAAAGCUCUUUCGACAGGAACGAUAAUGACGGUACCUGGAGAAGAAGCUGCGGCUAACUACGUGCCAGCAGCCGCGGUAAUACGUAGGCAGCGAACGUUGUUCGGAGUUACUGGGCGUAAAGAGUACGUAGGCGGUUCGCUAAGUCUGGUGUGAAAUCUCCUGGCUCAACUGGGAGGGUGCGCCGGAUACUGGCGGGCUCGAGUGCGGGAGAGGGAAGCGGAAUUCCUGGUGUAGCGGUGAAAUGCGUAGAUAUCAGGAGGAACACCUGCGGUGAAGACGGCUUCCUGGACCGUGACUGACGCUGAGGUACGAAAGCGUGGGUAGCAAACAGGAUUAGAUACCCUGGUAGUCCACGCCCUAAACGAUGCAAACUUGGUGUAGGCAGUUCAGUCUGUC
rnacentral:rRNA from 1 species